AGAAUUGCAGAUCCAAAGGAGGUAACCAUUUCUGAGGCAUCUGAGACAUGUUGGAAAUCUGCACUCUGGAAAUUAUACACAAAUGGGCACACUCAUGGACAAGAUGGGAAAAUAAAUGCCUCAAGAAGCUGCACAGAAUGCUCCAAGACUCUAGGAGGCGCUACCAUCACCACAGCGCAGCCCGAUUGCAGCCAACGUGUGCCUGAGCUGGCUGUGGCCACCGCCCUCUGGCCACAUGUCCGGUGCUACACGGUCUUCAAGGGUGUGUGGGGCUGAGCAGCAUCCGCCAGGCCCAGGCCCCGGGAACUGAAGGUGUUUCCUCCACAUCCGCCUCUGCACCUCCUAAGCACGCACCUGCUACAGGUGCUGGGAGUCAGCACCUGAGACACCUGAGGACUCCUCCUCCUUGAAGGCCGGAGUCGACUGACUGCAUCUUGUACUGAUUUUGAAGGGAUUUCUGGUCUUUUUUAUCCAAUGCACACUGGUACCCGCCACUGCUGGAGUGAGGCUGGUUGUCUCUGAGUGGGCUCUGCACCCUCACAGCAGGCAUCCUGACCCCUUUCUUUCCCACUCCAAGCUCAUCAUGCUGGAUCCCGCACCAGAGACAGCCCCGAGGCCGCGCUCACAAGACCAGAUGGCCGGCUCGCCAUUUCUACCUUUCAGCGUCCAGGAGUUUUUCUUUUGUCUUUACUUGUUUAUUGAGGAAUGAAGAGUCAGUGAAGACUGAUCAAGACACUGCCUUGAAAGGGUUUCAUGGGCAAAGAACAAAAGCAAAUCAAAGGGUUCAUCCAGGCAAGGGGCUGACGCUCUUCCCCUGUUGGGGAGGAGGAACAGAUGAGGGCAGGGAGGACACAGCCCAGGACUCACAGGGCCCUGCCGUCCACGUUUCCUGAGAACUGCAAAGCAUCGUGCAGCCACGAGUUUCCCCAGACACCAGCACCCAUCCCCAGGCCUGUGGGUCAGUGAUUCUAGCUCAUCUGAUGGGCCGUCCGUGGGGAAGGGAUGGGCCCGCAGUCCUGCCUGUUUGGUUGAUUGAAGUGGGACCUCUUUCACGACAAACGCCAAAUUGAAAUUCAUCACAGCAAAUACCUAAGUUUUGAGAACAAUAUAUUUAUAGUGAGCUUAUUAGAUAUUAGAUGCACCUUUCCUAAACAAGUUGUUCUCUCACCAGUCUGAUUUCUAACCUCCUGAAGAGCAAAACCUGUCACCGACCCAGGAGCAGCAGGUAGAAGAGAAAUUCUAAAACAUCCUGAAGAGCAAGAGGCUCUGUGGAAAAUACCAGGGCUUGUGCAGGCAGGGGAGCUCACCACGCUGGGCCAGAAGCCCCUCACCUGGAGGCAGCGGGUGCUGCCCUGAGCCAGGGCCCACAGGAGGCUUCUGGGCACAGACACACCCUGCAGACAGGGUCCUGCUGGAACGCUUUGACAUUUCUAGGAUCUGGACUGUCCACGGGACAGACCAGGAGGGCAUGAGAAAUACGCUGAGUUGGGGCCGGGUGCGGUGGCUCAUGCCUGUCAUCCUAGCACUUUGGGAGGCCAAGGUGGGUGGAUCACAUGAGGCUAGGAGUUUGAGACCAGCUUGGCCGGCAUGAUGAAACCCCGUAUCUACUAAAAAUACAAAUAUUAGCCGGGCUUGAUGGUGCACACCUGUAGUCCCAGCUACUUGGGAGGCUGAAGCAGGAGAAUCACUUGAACUUGGGAGGCUGAGGCAGGAGAAUCACUUGAACCCAGGAGGCAGAGGAGGUUGCAAUUAGCAGAAAUCAUGCCACUGCUCUCCAGCCUGGGCUACAGAGUAAGACUCUGUCUCAAAAAGAAAAAGAAAAACACACUGAGUUG